CAGCCGCCACGGGAAUACAGAGGGUGCGAGCGUAAAUCGGAUUUACUGGGCGUAAAGCGUGCGUAGGCGGCUUCUUAAGUCGGAUGUGAAAUCCCUGAGCUUAACUUAGGAAUUGCAUUCGAUACUGGGAAGCUAGAGUAUGGGAGAGGAUGGUAGAAUUCCAGGUGUAGCGGUGAAAUGCGUAGAGAUCUGGAGGAAUACCGAUGGCGAAGGCAGCCAUCUGGCCUAAUACUGACGCUGAGGUACGAAAGCAUGGGGAGCAAACAGGAUUAGAUACCCCAGUAGUCCCUGUCUCUUAUAC
rnacentral:rRNA from 1 species